rnacentral:rRNA from 1 species
UACGAAGGGGGCUAGCGUUGUUCGGAAUUACUGGGCGUAAAGCGUGCGCAGGCGGUUGGGCAAGACAGAUGUGAAAUCCCCGGGCUUAACCUGGGAAUGGCAUUUGUGACUGCCCGGCUAGAGUGUGUCAGAGGGGGGUAGAAUUCCACGUGUAGCAGUGAAAUGCGUAGAGAUGUGGAGGAAUACCGAUGGCGAAGGCAGCCCCCUGGGAUAACACUGACGCUCAUGCACGAAAGCGUGGGGAGCAAACAGG